GUGGGGAAUAUUGGACAAUGGGCGAAAGCCUGAUCCAGCCAUGCCGCGUGUGUGAAGAAGGUCUUCGGAUUGUAAAGCACUUUAAGUUGGGAGGAAGGGCAGUAAGUUAAUACCUUGCUGUUUUGACGUUACCGACAGAAUAAGCACCGGCUAACUUCGUGCCAGCAGCCGCGGUAAUACGAAGGGUGCAAGCGUUAAUCGGAAUUACUGGGCGUAAAGCGCGCGUAGGUGGUUUUGUAAGUUGGAGGUGAAAUCCACGGGCUCAACCUGGGAACUGCCUGCAAAACUGCAUGACUAGAGUACGGUAGAGGGGAGUGGAAUUGCCUGUGUAGCGGUGAAAUGCGUAGAUAUAGGAAGGAACACCAGUGGCGAAGGCGACUACCUGGACUGAUACUGACACUGAGGUGCGAAAGCGUGGGGAGCAAACAGGAUUAGAAACCCGUGUAGUCC
rnacentral:rRNA from 1 species